CUGUAAUGUUUUCAGACUUCUGCCAUCUCAUAAAAAAUGUUCGGUAUAUUGUUAUUCAGCAUUCAUGUUUUCAGACUCCAUAUGGAAUAAUACAAAAGCGUCACUGGGAAGAUGUAUUGAAUAUUGAGAGAUACGACGCCCCUAAUUUGAAAAUGCUCAUAAGCUGUCACCAACUCAUCUCCACCCAAUUGGUUAUCAGAAGAUGAAAGUUUCCUUAGCAUUCGAAAGUUUAAUCAGACUGAUUGACAAUUUAGUCAGAGCGAUGAUGUCAAGAACCCCACUGCGAGCUUUAAAAUAUUCACAAUCGGAAGUAUGC